AAAAAUCUUACUAUUAUAUUUAUUUUACUAUUUGUACUCAAGAUUUUAUCUUAAGUACAGCGGUUCUGCUCGAAACCGUGUAGCAUUGGAAACAAUGGUACUAUGAAUUGUAGCGGGGGAGAGUCGCCCCAUAACAGGCUUGGCGGUACUCUGUGCGGGUACUUUGAUAAUGCUAAAGGUAGAAAGUAAGCUACUGCAAGACUUCUGGGGCGGAGUACAGAAGAAUAGGCGAUAUAGUCUAUAUCAAAGUAAGU
rnacentral:ncRNA from 1 species